rnacentral:tRNA from 1 species
UCCCUGAUAGCUCAGUUGGUAAAGAAUCUGCCUGCAAUGCAGGAGAUCCAGGUUCGAUCCCUGGGUUGGGAA